rnacentral:rRNA from 1 species
UACAGAGGUCCCAAGCGUUGUUCGGAUUCAUUGGGCGUAAAGGGUGCGUAGGCGGCGCGGUAAGUCGGGUGUGAAAUCUCGGAGCUUAACUCCGAAACUGCAUUCGAUACUGCCGUGCUUGAGGACUGGAGAGGAGACUGGAAUUCUCGGUGUAGCAGUGAAAUGCGUAGAUAUCGAGAGGAACACCAGUGGCGAAGGCGAGUCCCUGGACACUUCCUGACACUGAGGCACGAAAGCUAGGGGAGCAAACAGG